CAAACAGGUUCCUGAAGGGACAAGCAAGAUGAAAAUACUCAGCAGGAACUUUAUUUCAGUCUUGAUAGCACAGAAAGUCCCUGCUCGUACCAGUAAACAACUGCCACCUUCCACUAAUGAGAUUAGCAACAAGCCAUUCAGGCGCCUGCUCUGGGUGCAGAAGCAAACAAUGAUGGCCAAGCCGCGUCAGACCCUUCCUUCCUCAGUGGCCCAGCCCCAGCGGAGCAGAGCAGUGCUCAAGGGCCAGCACAGCCCGCCCUGGCCUCGCCACGGUGCUGCCAGGCCUGCACCAGGGCGGGAGAACUGGAGCAACUGGACAGCUUUUUUCUGAAGAGAGCUGAGGAGCAAGACGGGUUCCAGUUGGAGGAACAGGCACCACACCUCCCUGCCAAGGCAGGAGCACCCUCUGCCCUUGGACACAUUACAUCACCGUCCACUUCUAAGGUGAUGUUGGCUUUUAUCAUUGUGAUAGUUCAAAAUACAGAAGCUAUAAAAACAAGAA